AAGAACGACUCUCGGCAACGGAUAUCUCGGCUCUCGCAUCGAUGAAGAACGUAGCGAAAUGCGAUACUUGGUGUGAAUUGCAGAAUCCCGUGAACCAUCGAGUCUUUGAACGCAAGUUGCGCCCGAUGCCAUCAGGUCGAGGGCACGUCUGCCUGGGCGUCACACGC
rnacentral:rRNA from 1 species